rnacentral:rRNA from 1 species
UACGUAGGGCGCGAGCGUUGUCCGGAAUUAUUGGGCGUAAAGAGCUCGUAGGCGGCCUGUUACGUCUGCUGUGAAAUCCCGGGGCUUAACCCCGGGCGUGCAGUGGAUACGGGCAGGCUGGAGGCAGGCAGGGGAGAACGGAAUUCCCGGUGUAGCGGUGAAAUGCGCAGAUAUCAGGAGGAACACCAGUGGCGAAGGCGGUGCUCUGGGCCGGAACUGACGCUGAGGAGCGAAAAGCGUGGGGAGCAAACAGG